GACAGAAAGACCCUAUGAAGCUUUACUGUAACUUGGAAUUGGAUUUGGGCUUUUCUUGCGCAGCAUAGGUGGGAGGCAUUGAUACUAGGUUUGCGGAUCUAGCGGAGCCAUCAAUGAGAUACCACUCUGGAAAAGCUAAAAUUCUAACUUUGAGCCGUUAUCCGGCCAAAGAACAGUUUCAGGUGGGCAGUUUGACUGGGGCGGUCGCCUCCCAAAAAGUAACGGAGGCGUGCAAAGGUUCCCUCAGACUGGUCGGAAAUCAGUCGUAGAGUGUAAAGGCAUAAGGGAGCUUGACUGCAAGACCUACAAGUCGAGCAGAGACGAAAGUCGGCCUUAGUGAUCCGACAGUGCCGAGUGGAAGGGCUGUCGCUCAACGGAUAAAAGUUACUCUAGGGAUAACAGGCUGA
rnacentral:rRNA from 1 species